GAUGAACGCUGGCGGCGUGCCUAAUACAUGCAAGUCGAGCGAACGGACGAGAAGCUUGCUUCUCUGAUGUUAGCGGCGGACGGGUGAGUAACACGUGGAUAACCUACCUAUAAGACUGGGAUAACUUCGGGAAACCGGAGCUAAUACCGGAUAAUAUUUUGAACCGCAUGGUUCAAAAGUGAAAGACGGUCUUGCUGUCACUUAUAGAUGGAUCCGCGCUGCAUUAGCUAGUUGGUAAGGUAACGGCUUACCAAGGCAACGAUGCAUAGCCGACCUGAGAGGGUGAUCGGCCACACUGUAACUGAGACACGGUCCAGACUCCUACGGGAGGCAGCAGUAGGGAAUCUUCCGCAAUGGGCGAAAGCCUGACGGAGCAACGCCGCGUGAGUGAUGAAGGUCUUCGGACCGUAAAACUCUGUUAUUAGGGAAGAACAUAUGUGUAAGUAACUGUGCACAUCUUGACGGUACCUAAUCAGAAAGCCACGGCUAACUACGUG
rnacentral:rRNA from 1 species